UCAGUCAUCCUCAUCUUCAUCCUCAAUCUGAAACCGUUUCUUCCUGUGGACUCUUGGCGUUCCCGACACUGCUGCCAUGGGAAUGACAGCAGUUGCCGCUUCUUGGGCGCUGAGUUUGAGUUCCAUUCUUCCUCCCCAGUGGCCUCCUCUGCAGUAAUGUAAGACACAGUCAGGGAACCGGCCCUGCAUCGUCUCAACAGCCCUCACGCCACACGGUGGCACAGAGGACUCCUGGCUCUGGCUCCUCUUCCCUUUCCUCCUCGUUUUCUUGCUGACUCAAAGAAGCAGCCACCCUCCGAAGCUGGGCAGAGCUCAGUUUGGCUGGAAUUCUCCAGAAGGUUUCCUACAGGUACACAACACAGCAGGUGAGAUCGCUGCCAGGGAGGACUGGCCUCUCUGGCCACUCUUCUGCUCUAUCCGUCAUUGAGUAAGCAUGACCCCCCCCCCCCCAACCAGGAAUGACCCACAGGAGUUGUGAACUGGACUUACACCCAGCACCUAGCUCAGUGCUACACCAGGUCACAUUCACUGUGAAUACAGCUGUUAGCAAUGAAUACAGGGAAGGAUCUGGGCCAUGUAAAAAGUGAGCCUGUGAGAUCCACGUUCAGAGUCAGUGGGGGCGCGAGGGGGGCGGCCGGGCAAAAUGCUAUAGCGCCACUGGACUGGGCACCUGAGCAACUACUCCCACUUCCUGUGUCAGACAGGAAAUAAGAUCGCAAGUGCUGAACUGACCCUUGAAGGCUGGCUGAGUGUCAAGAGGAAGAAGAGGCACCAGAGGGAUUGCCUGGGAGCAGCCUGCAGACACGGUGACAAUGUGGCAGAGGGACUGCUCUGGAUCACACCAGGCCCGGGCCACCCAGUGUCCAAUGCUUACCAUCCUCUUCUCGGUCAUUUGCUGCUCGAAUCAGGGAGCUCUGGAGCCACAGGAGGGGAGCAGAGAGGCCUGGGCAGAGAGGAAACUUGCUCUGACCGAGGUUUUCAGCAGAGAGAGAUGAGCUGCCCUGACCCUGUCCUGAGGGCAAGCCUUCCUCAUUCUCCUCGUCUUCGCUUUC